rnacentral:rRNA from 1 species
ACGUAGGGUGCAGGCGUUAAUCGGAAUUACUGGGCGUAAAGCGUGCGCAGGCGGUUUGCUAAGACAGGUGUGAAAUCCCCGGGCUUAACCUGGGAACUGCGCUUGUAACUGGCAAGCUUGAGUGUGGCAGAGGGGGGUGGAAUUCCACGUGUAGCAGUGAAAUGCGUAGAGAUGUGGAGGAACACCGAUGGCGAAGGCAGCCCCCUGGGCUAACACUGACGCUCAUGCACGAAAGCGUGGGGAGCAAACAGGA